UUCGGGUUUUAGUGGCGAACGGGUGAGUAACACGUAAGCAACCUACCCUAAAGACGAGGAUAACCAUUGGAAACAGUGGCUAAGACUGGAUAGGAAGAAAUAAGGCAUCUUAUUUCUUUUAAAAGACCUAGUAAUAGGUAUACUUUAGGAGGGGCUUGCGCCAUAUUAGUUAGUUGGUAGGGUAAUGGCCUACCAAGACGAUGAUGUGUAGCUGGACUGAGAGGUUGAACAGCCACAUUGGGACUGAGACACGGCCCAAACUCCUACGGGAGGCAGCAGUAAGGAAUUUUCGGCAAUGGAGGAAACUCUGACCGAGCAACGCCGCGUGAACGACGAAGUACUUUGGUAUGUAAAGUUCUUUUAUCAAGGAAGAAAAGCAAGUGGCGAACCAUUUGUUUGCCGGUACUUGAUGAAUAAGCCCCGGCUAAUUAUGUGCCAGCAGCCGCGGUAAGACAUAAGGGGCAAGUGUUAUCCGGAAUUAUUGGGCGUAAAGGGUGCGUAGGCGGUCUAGUAAGUCAGUGGUGUAAUGGCAACGCUCAACGUUGUCCGGCUAUUGAAACUGCUAAACUUGAGUUAGAUAGAGGCGAGUGGAAUUCCAUGUGUAGCGGUAAAAUGCGUAAAUAUAUGGAGGAACACCAGAGGCGUAGGCGGCUCGCUGGGUCUUAACUGACGCUGAGGCACGAAAGCGUGGGGAGCAAACAGGAUUAGAUACCCUGGUAGUCCACGCCGUAAACGAUGAGUACUAAGUGUCGGGUUAAACCGGUACUGAAGUUAACACAUUAAGUACUCCGCCUGAGUAGUACGUACGCAAGUAUGAAACUUAAAGGAAUUGACGGGACUCCGCACAAGCGGUGGAUCAUGUUGUUUAAUUCGAAGAUACCCGAAAAACCUUACCAGGUCUUGACAUGUUUUUGCGAAACGGUAGUAAUAUCGUAGAGGUUAUCAGAAACACAGGUGGUGCAUGGUUGUCGUCAGCUCGUGUCGUGAGAUGUUAGGUUAAGUCCUAAAACGAGCGAAACCCUUAUCGUUAGUUGCCAGCACGUUAUGGUGGGGACUUUAACGAGACUGCCAGUGAUAAACUGGAGGAAGGUGAGGAUCACGUCAAAUCAGCAUGCCCCUUAUGACCUGGGCUACAAACGUGAUACAAUGGCUGUUACAAAGGGUAGCUGAAACGUAAGUUCUUGGCCAAUCCCCAAAAACAGUCUCAGUCCGGAUUGAAGUCUGCAACUCGACUUCAUGAAGUUGGAAUCGCUAGUAAUCGCGAAUCAGCAUGUCGCGGUGAAUACGUUCUCGGGGUUUGUACACACCGCCCGUCAAACCACGAAAGUUGGCAAUACCCCAAAAUGGUAGCCUAACUCGUUUAUU
rnacentral:rRNA from 1 species